ensembl:snRNA U6 U6 spliceosomal RNA
GUGCUUGCUUCAGUAGCACAUAUACUAAAACUGGAACAAAAUGGAGGAGAUUGGCAUGCCCCAUACAUAAGGAUGACUCACAGACUAGUGAAGUGUUCAAAAACAAA